AUUUGGGAAAUUACAUUAGCUGUAAACUCGAGGCACUGGCUGCUUAGUCUUUUGUUCAUCACCACUCACCUCCACACAAGCCAAGAAAAAUGUUCUGGGG